rnacentral:rRNA from 1 species
UACGUAGGUGGCAAGCGUUGUCCGGAUUUAUUGGGCGUAAAGGGCGCGCAGGUGGUGUGCUAAGUCUGCCGUGAAAUCUCCCGGCUCAACUGGGAGGGUGCGCCGGAUACUGAGGGGCUAGAGUGUGGGAGAGGAAAGUGGAAUUCCUGGUGUAGCGGUGAAAUGCGUAGAUAUCAGGAGGAGCACCGGUGGUGUAAACGGCUUUCUGGACCAUAACUGACGCUGAGGCACGAAAGCGUGGGUAGCAAACAGG